rnacentral:ncRNA from 2 species
GCUGACUUCUCUAUAAUCAGCGCGCUUUUUAAUUCCAGCUGGGAAUCCGGUGUGAAUCCGGAACUGGCGCGCAGCGGUAAUGAGAAACGAAGGUGACUAGGCGAAAAGCCAGACACUGUGCCUAGGAAUGGGCAUGGGAAGUUGUCACCGUAGGGGGUCUCUAAGUCCGAAUAUCAGCUGGACAACAAUGUGGUAU